UUAUUCACGAUCCGUUAAGCUGUUCCCCCUCCCUUCCAACGCCGGCCACUCGUCUCCUCCUCCUCCCACCUCCCGUUUCCCCCGCGCCAUCCUCCUCCGCCUCGCCGCCAUGGCCGCGACCCCGCCGUCGUCGCAGCACCGGCGGCCGCUGUCCUCCUCCGCCUCCGCCGCCUCCCUCGCUGGCAAGCCGCGGGGGGGCGGGCUCCUGCUCGGGCGGUACGAGCUCGGCCGCCUCCUCGGCCACGGCACCUUCGCCAAGGUGUACCAGGCGCGGAGCGCGGAUUCCGGGGAGCCGGUCGCGAUCAAGGUGCUCGACAAGGAGAAGGCGAUGCGGCACGGCCUCGUCCCGCACAUCAAGCGGGAGAUCGCCAUCCUCCGCCGCGUCCGCCACCCCAACAUCGUGAGGCUGUUCGAGGUGAUGGCCACCAAGUCCAAGAUCUACUUCGUGAUGGAGCUCGUCCGCGGCGGGGAGCUGUUCGGCCGCGUCGCCAAGGGGCGGCUCAAGGAGGACACCGCGCGGCGCUACUUCCAGCAGCUCGUCUCCGCCGUCGGGUUCUGCCACGCGCGCGGCGUGUUCCACCGCGACCUCAAGCCCGAGAACCUCCUCGUCGACGAGCACGGCGACCUCAAGGUCUCCGACUUCGGCCUCUCCGCCGUCGCCGACCAGUUCCACCCCGACGGCCUCCUCCACACCUUCUGCGGCACGCCCUCCUACGUCGCGCCCGAGGUGCUCGCGCGCCGCGGCUACGACGGCGCCAAGGCGGACAUAUGGUCCUGCGGCAUCAUCCUCUUCGUGCUCAUGGCUGGCUACCUUCCGUUCCAUGACCAGAAUCUCAUGGCCAUGUACCGAAAGAUUUACAGGGGGGAAUUCCGGUGCCCGAGAUGGUUCUCCAAGGAUCUUUCCAGUCUACUGAAUCGCAUCCUUGACACGAACCCAGAGACAAGGAUCACUGUCAAAGAGGUCAUGGAGAGCAGGUGGUUCCAGAAGGGAUUCCGGCCGGUCAGAUUCUAUGUUGAGGAUGAUCAGGUUCACAGCUUGGCAGAUGGUGAUAAUGAUAUGCCGGAGUUGGAACCUAGUGAGCCUCCUCCUCCUCCUCCGUUUCCGCCGCCGCCGCCGCAGCAAGAUGAUGACGGUGAGGAGUCGGGAUGGGAGUCGGACUCAUCCGUGGCAUCAUGUCCUGCCACAUUGUCAUCUGAGGAGCGUCGGCAAAGACCUCUCGGGUCUCUCACACGGCCAGCAAGUCUUAAUGCGUUCGAUAUCAUAUCGUUCUCAAAGGGAUUUGAUUUGUCGGGGUUGUUUGAGGAGCGAGGGAGUGAAGUGAGGUUCAUAUCGGCAGAGCCUAUGCAAACAAUCAUCACAAAAUUGGAGGAGAUCGCAAAGGUGAAGAGCUUCUUCGUUCGGCGAAAAGACUGGCGAGUGAGCAUAGAAGGCACGAGGGAAGGUUUGAAGGGUCCAUUGACAAUCGGCGCUGAGAUAUUUGAGCUCACACCAAGCCUGGUGGUAGUGGAGGUGAAGAAGAAGGCAGGGGAUAAGGAAGAAUAUGAUGACUUCUGUAACAGGGAGUUGAAACCUGGGAUGCAGCAUCUCGUACACCAUAUGGGAUCAGUUCCAAAUAUACCUUCUGAUACGGAGUAGUUUGAACUAAGAAAGUCAUGCUACCAAUAACUGCUGUGGAUGGUUCCAGAUAGGUCCCUGCUCAUGGGAUGCAGCGGAAAAUAGCUAAUAUGCUUAAUUAACUCUCUUCAGAUCCUUGAUGAACAAAGAUGCAGCAGUUUCCAAGCACAAGCAUGGACUCCCAAACACAUACUCAACGUGAGCAUAUGCAAGUCGAAGUGCAUGCAUCAAUCAGUAUUGAAGUUAUUGCUUUGCUGAAUCGUUCUUUAUGUUAACUUCAAGCAUAUUAAUGUGUGGUGUUAUUUGUAACUUAAGAAUAAAGGCUUAUAAUGGCUUUGAAGUUGUGCCUUGGCUUCAACUAGCAACUUCCUUUUGCCCAACGUACUGCUACAUUCUGUGAUAUGGUUUUAUAGUUCACAAACAGUUAGGAGAAGUGCCGAAUUGUCCAGCUAUUUUAGCUGUUCAUAUAAAAUCCGUAUGUGUGGCUUUUGUUUUCUUAAGUUGUCCCUAUAAUUAGGUGAGCCGUAUAUCUGUUGUAAGUCAUAUCGAAUCACACGAACAUGUUCUCAUUUUAGUCAUUUUAGUAGUGAACAGAUGUUCAGUGGUUUUGAAUAA